UACGUAGGCAGCGAGCGUUGUUCGGAGUUACUGGGCGUAAAGAGUGCGUAGGCGGUUUUCUAAGUUUGGUGUGAAAUCUCCCGGCUUAACUGGGAGGGUGCGCCGAAGACUGGAAGGCUUGAGUAUGGGAGAGGUAAGCGGAAUUCCUGGUGUAGCGGUGAAAUGCGUAGAUAUCAGGAGGAACACCUGCGGUGUAGACGGCUUACUGGACCACAACUGACGCUGAGGCACGAAGGCGUGGGUAGUCAAACAGGAUUAGAACGUACCGAGUCAGACCAAG
rnacentral:rRNA from 1 species